CCUACGGGAGCCAGCAGUGGGGAAUUUUUCGCAAUGGGGCCAACCCCUGACGAAGCAAUGCCGCGUGAUAAGAAGGCCUUCGGGUUGUAAAGUCCUUUCGUGGAGGACGAAAAGGUGGGUUCUAAUACAAUCUGCUAUUGACGUGAAUCCAAGAAGAAGCACCGGCUAACUCCGUGCCAGCAGCCGCGGUAAUACGGGGGGUGCAAGCGUUAAUCGGAAUCACUGGGCGUAAAGGGUGCGUAGGCGGUACGUUAGGUCUGUCGUGAAAUCCCCGGGCUCAACCUGGGAAUGGCGGUAGAAACCGGCGCACUAGAGUAUGGGAGAGGGUGGUGGAAUUCCAGGUGUAGCGGUGAAAUGCGUAGAUAUCUGGAGGAACAUCAGUGGCGAAGGCGGCCACCUGGCCCAAUACUGACGCUGAGGCACGAAAGCGUGGGGAGCAAACAGGAUUAGAUACCCUGGUAGUCCACGCCCUAAACGAUGAAUACUAGAUGUUUGGUGCCUAGCGUACUGAGUGUCGUAGCUAACGCGAUAAGUAUUCCGCCUGGGAAGUACGGCCGCAAGGUUAAAACUCAAAGGAAUUGACGG
rnacentral:rRNA from 1 species